AUGUUUAGCACCUACGAGAGAAAAAAGGCCUGCAGAACAUCUCCCCCACCGUCACGACUGCCCACGAUCUCCCGUUCCUCUCCCACCAGCCCCUUCCGGCACCUUCUCUUCCGCUUGUGUGCUCUUGCCCCGCCCAAAUCUUCCACAUGGUCUUCAUGGCCGCCGCGGCCAGAUCUUCGGCUCCAUCCCCUUGCAUCACUGCCUUGGUUGACGGCUUUCGCGACACCCUCAAUCACACAACCCUCUCCCCAACGGCCCCCGUGCCACCCUCACAUGAGGCGCUCCCCCUGCCGCCAUCAUGACGCACUCAUCGGCGCGCUCUUCGCCGGAGCGGCGUGCGCUGGAUGCCGGAGCCGGGAAGGAGUGUGGCCAUCAGUGGGGGAGAAAACAAGGGGAGGCAUGGUCGUGCUCUCUCUGGUCGUCGGAGGGAAAGAGCAAGGGAAGAGGCGGUCUACGAGAUGUAGUGUCUGGCCGGAUAGGACGCGCGGCAGGGAAGGCAGCGGCCAGAUCACGGUGGGGUGA
rnacentral:rRNA from 1 species